AUUGAACGCUGGCGGCAGGCUUAACACAUGCAAGUCGAGCGGGGGAAGGUAGCUUGCUACCGGACCUAGCGGCGGACGGGUGAGUAAUGCUUAGGAAUCUGCCUAUUAGUGGGGGACAACAUCUCGAAAGGGAUGCUAAUACCGCAUACGUCCUACGGGAGAAAGCAGGGGAUCUUCGGACCUUGCGCUAAUAGAUGAGCCUAAGUCGGAUUAGCUAGUUGGUGGGGUAAAGGCCUACCAAGGCGACGAUCUGUAGCGGGUAUGAGAGGAGGGUCCGCCACACUGGGACUGAGACACGGCCCAGAGUCCUACGGGAGGCAGCAGUGGGGAAUAUUGGACAAUGGGGGGAACCCUGAUCCAGCCAUGCCGCGUGUGUGAAGAAGGCCUUAUGGUUGUAAAGCACUUUAAGCGAGGAGGAGGCUACUCUAGUUAAUACCUAGGGAUAGUGGACGUUACUCGCAGAAUAAGCACCGGCUAACUCUGUGCCAGCCGCCGCAGUAA
rnacentral:rRNA from 1 species